rnacentral:rRNA from 1 species
AGUGAACGCUGGCGGCGUGCUUAACACAUGCAAGUCGAACGGUAACAGGAACUAGCUUGCUAGUUUGCUGACGAGUGGCGCACGGGUGAGUAAUAUAUAGUUAAUGUACCCCAAAGACUGGGAUAGCCACUGGAAACGGUGAUUAAUACUAGAUACACCUCUUUAACAUAAGUUAGAGAGGGAAAUGUCUUUUCGCUUUGGGAUCAGACUAUAUCCUAUCAGUUAGUUGGUGAGGUAAUGGCUCACCAAGGCAAUGACGGGUAGCGGGUUUGAGAGGAUGAUCCGCCACACUGGUACUGAGACACGGACCAGACUCCUACGGGAGGCAGCAGUGAGGAAUAUUGCACAAUGGAGGAAACUCUGAUGCAGCAACGCCGCGUGGAGGAUGACGCAUUUCGGUGUGUAAACUCCUUUUAUAUGUCAAGAAAAUGACGGUAGCAUAUGAAUAAGCACCGGCUAACUCCGUGCCAGCAGCCGUACGG